CCGGCCGGUACCUGGUCACAAGGGGACUUCUCCAGCAUCUGCGUGCACAGAUCAGCGCAGAGCUGGAACCUCCUGCGCCUAAAGUAGCUCCAGGCUAGGAGCAGCGGCUCCAUGUCCGAGGCCGGCGCGCCCGCGGAUGAGAAACUGAGAUGGGCUCAGAGAAAUUAUUAAUGUGCUGUCACAUGGAGUGAAGGAGCUGGAUUGUUAUCUGGAUCAUUACAAACUGCUAAUACCAUUUGUUAAUUUGAAGAUGCCUUGGGGUUCUGGAUUUAUAAAUCAGAUAUUUUGACUAAAAAUAAUGUAUGCAAAAAAUAAAUUUUUAAGGAGCUUUUAGAAA